rfam:Phlebotomus papatasi Contig555.12, whole genome shotgun sequence.
UGAUGCUUACAGUGAGAUAUGUUUGAUAUUCUUGGUUGUUACUAUUUGAUUAUCACCCAGGAAUCAAACAUAUUAUUACUGUGGACAUUC